UUGGACUUCACAGUUUCCUGUUCAGUUCUGCUGACUUUCUCCCCAGUAAACAAUACAAAUUCUAGACCUGCCAAAAUUUAAGAAAAAAACAAGCAAACUAAAACACAUUUCCCUGGACUGAAAUGGAAAGAUAAUCCAACAAGAGAAUGAAGGAUUAGAAUCUUGAUAUUGUACAGAGCUGAGUGUUUUUCUAUAUACUGUAUAAGCAAUUCCUU